UAAAAAAAGAAGAAAAAAUCUAUCCCAAUCCCCCACGUUCCCCACAAACACACACACAACCACUUUCCCCCAAAACUUUCCAUUAUUCCCGCAACUUCUCUCACACACACAACACACGACACAGCCAUAUAAAAACAUGCACACAUGCACUAUAAGGAGAGGGGACACAGACAAAAAAAAGGGGAGACAAUGAGAAGAAGGAGAACAACAUUCUGAAAAAAAAAAAAGAACACAAAAUACAAACAAAAAGCAACCAAGUGUACUCCCUCCUUAAUUUUCCAUCAAGACAACCCAAAAAAAAAAAAUACUACAACAACCAAAAUUUUCUCGCAUCUCAAACUUUAAGGUCUGUUUGCGGUUUUAAGUUUGUGGCUUUUGAAUAUUGGCUAUUGUGAAAUUAAUUUUUUCAAGAGUAUAUUUGGGAAAGCCAAUUUUCACCUUUAAAGCUUCUCUUUAAGGUCAAGCCAAGAUAAUGAGUUUAAGUACUUUGGAAUAAGUCAGUACUUUGGAGGCUUGAAAUAAACUUGGAAUGAAUGCUUGGAGCUUAGAAACGUGUUACAAUAAAAGUACAAGGCUCCACGGGGAAGACUACUCGGAGAAGGGAAAAGAGGCUAUGAACGCAAAGUGAUUAUUCUUUAGAUACAAGUCUCUUGACUAAGAAGGACCUUAUUUCAUUAAGAGUAUUUUUAUAAUUAUUUGUUUAGUCUAUAAAUACGGAGAAUAACUCAUUUUAGAGGCAAACUAUUUCUGAUAUGAGCUUCUAAAAGAGAGAAACUCUUGUGAGAUAUGGCUAAGACCUUUGUUUCUAUUGAAUGUUGAUAGGACUGUUUUCUUGAGGUUAUAUCCUCUUGAGGGCUUGUAGGAGGUUUUGACUUUAGUAUAGUCAUAGUUGCCUAUUAAAUGCUUACUUGUGCCUUGCUUUUACAGAUUUAGUACUUUUUGAAACUUUGUAUUUAAGGGUAUUGGUUUUGAUAUAGCUAUUUUUUCAUUUCUUUUC